rnacentral:lncRNA from 1 species
GGCCAUAUAUCAAACAAAAGAAAAAGAAAACCUUCUUUAUUCAUAAUUUGCUCUAAUUUCUUACCAAUGGAUUCAGGGCAACCGAGUUCUAGUUCUAAACAAGAACUUAUCAAGUGAGUCCUUUUUCCAUUUCAUUCUUCUUUUUUUAUUCUUUCUCAUUAUUUAUUUUACAGUCUUCAAGAGAUUUAUAUGGUGCUUUCAAUUCUUUUAGCAAAAUGAAAAAAGAAAAUGAAGCACUCAAACUCGAAAAUGACGAACAAAAGAAACUCGUUGAGAAGCUGCUCAAGGAGAUUGCCCAAUUGAAAACAAAGGUCAGCUUUUAUAUCAUCAAUUUUCAAUUUUAAAAUGCUACGUAGAUUAUUAACUUUAUCUGUUUUUUUCUUUUGCAGCACGAAAAGCUACAGAAAAGUUUUGGCCCUAGAAACAUCGAGUGAGAUUCCGUAUGUACAGUGAAAAAUAUUCUUAAGAUAAAAUUGUUGUAGCUCUCUCUUUCUAGAGGAGAAAUUUAUCUUAUAAGUUACCUAAUUAUCUUCAAAUUCUAGUGUUAUCGUGUUUCUCGUAAUCUUGCC